CACUUUUAUACAAGUUCGAAUGGGAAAAACAUGACGGAAGAACUUUCCGGUGUGACAAUCGUUAUUUUUAUUGCGGCUGGAGUACUAACAAUAUUAUUACUGUUUAUAUUUGCAAAACGACAAAUUAUGAGAUUUGCAUUACGAUCACGCCGUGGUCCUCAUAUCCCUAUCGGGCACGAUGCACGAAAGUCACUGAAAAAGGAGAUUGAAAGACGAAUAGAAGUAAUACCAAGAAUUCAAUACGAGCCGCAACUUAUUAGCGAUCCAAGAUUUAUUUUAACUCCUCGAGGACAGGUUUCACCUCAUUACUACAGAUUAAAAGCUGUAGAUGAUGUUAAGACCUUGGAAGCUGAAAUUACUAAAUAUGAUAAUUGCUUAAAAAGACAUCCAUCUGAAAAUUUACGGGCAUAUUUACUUGCCAUAUUGGCAACACCAUUAAAUGGAAGUGGACAACGAUUAAUUCAUCAGUUCUGCGACUUAUAUGAACAUGCACGACAUGAUCCAACUGAAUUUGGUGAUGAGGAAUAUCAAGUAUAUACCCGUUUAUUCCUUAAAUUAAUGGACGCGGCUCGUUUAUUAAAAUCAUAUCCAAGCAGUAGGAAAUCUAGUCCAAGUCGCACACCUAUAAAAAAAAACAUUGAAACGAAACGGAAUAUAUUAGAACCCAAGAUGAAACUACUGGAAGAUCAAACAUUGACUGGAUCACGUCCGAAUACAUUAACCGUGAUGAUGUUGGAUAAUAGCGAAACAUCUGUUUAGCAUUAUGAAAGUCGUCACAUACAACACAUGUGACGAUAUGUUUGUUCAGAAUUGUCAGUCUCUACAUCAUAUGGGAUUGCAAUAACGGAUACGUUUUUUGUUCCAACUUGCGGUUAAAUAUCGAUGUCCGUCUUAAUCGAUAAAUAUUUACUCCAUACAUUUUUAUAAUAUGAAUUAUGUCUUAAAGAAAUUAAUGCCCGAUGAAACGUGUAUUUAUAUGUAUCAGAAAUAUGAUUUGUUCUCAUAUAAUUUAACCAUUCCAUCAUCUGAAAGAGGUAUAUAAUAUCUUUAAUAGACUGUUAAUUCUAGAAUAACUAUAUAACUUUUAAUAAAGAAAAAAAAUAUUAAAUUGUUAAAUUAUCAUCCGGACGCUAGUUGGAUGGUUUUGUAUAGAAAUAAAAGUAAUCGUGAGUACCUGUGGAAUUGCAUGUUUCCAAUUCUCUCUAUCGGAAAGAAGUGUUAGAGCUUGAGGAAAUAAUUUUAUUCUGACAUUUUGCGAUUUAAUCACUAGAUCUCGUUUCAUUAACAUGGAGUCUAUGCCAGACAAGCUUAUCACAGAGGUAAAUAAAACAGUACAAUAGAA